AAUGCAACAUGUUCCAGGACCUCUUACCUGCGUGAUUCAUCAUCCAGGUUUUGCACAAAUUGUCUAAAUCCCUACACACAGAACAUUUAUUGUACCGACUAUAAGCCUUUGAGGUGCAGGACUACAAUACGCUUGGAGCUUCCUGAUCAGAUCGGUCACAAUUUUGGCUUUCGACGACCCCUGCACUGAAGAUGGCAUGCAAUCACGUCCUCCUUUGAAGGUCUCUCAAAUUGUGAUGCCAGGUCCAUUGGAAUCGGGGUUUCCUUCAGCUUAUCUUCAAAUACCUCAUCAAACACAAGCCUGAUCACAUCAUCCACAUAACUGUAGAAAUAUUGCAGUCAAUAAAUCUUUUGUUUUGAUCAUUUAUUUCCCUGCUUCAUACAUUAAGUUUUUAAUUAUGAAUGUAUUUGAAAUAAAACAUUACUGCUUA